rnacentral:lncRNA from 1 species
CACACACUGAAAUUGGGUGCUAUCAGGUGCCACUGAAACAUAUGGGCUGAAACACAGGACUGGCCACCCUCAUUACCACCACCAACCCCUGCAGGGGCUGACAGGCAGGUGCAUUAGCAGGGGCUCAGAAGCCGAGGUCCAAGCGUCCCCAAGCCAACUCCUACCAAAAGACCGCCCACUCGCCCCUCCUGCCGGCUCACGGUAGCCUAGCGACCAGCUUACCAAUAAAAGAGGGUCCAAGACGACGCUGGGAACGUUGGAGGAGGAUUCAUUACAGGUCAAAGUGGAAUUUCUAGGUUGGGGGGGUGGUGUCGCCCUCCAGGAGCCAGGUCCUGAAGAGCAAUUGGAAGACAGCGGAUCCCAGCAAGCCCGGGAUGGCAUAGCUGGGACCUACGGAGAAUAAGAAGGUCGCGGAUCAGGAAAAGGACAGAAGGAGGACUACAUCAAGAAAGUGAAAAGACAACCCACAGCAAUCAAAGAAAAUUUCUGCAAACCACAUACCUGGUAAGUGGCUUAUAUCCAGAAGGCAUAGAAUACAUAAAGACCUUUUAUGUCUCAAGAAUAAAAAAAUAAAU